UACGGAGGGGGCGAGCGUUAUUCGGAAUCAUUGGGCGUAAAGGGCGCGUAGGCGGCUUUGUAAGUCUUGGGUGAAAGCCCUCGGCUCAACCGAGGAAUUGCCUUGGAUACUGCGAAGCUCGAGGCUGGAAGAGGACAGUGGAAUUCCCGGUGUAGCGGUGAAAUGCGUAGAUAUCGAGAGGAACACCUGCGGCGAAGGCGGGUUGCUGGGCUGAUACUGACGCUGAGGCGCGAAAGCCAGGGGAGCGAACGGG
rnacentral:rRNA from 1 species